CAGCCAAAGAAAUUAAGGCUUGAAUGGAAAAGUAAAUGGAACCCUUCGAGAGAUGAACAUUUUGAGAGCCAUGGGGAAUUCUGCACUUUCGCUGGUGUCCUCACAGUUCUCUUUAGACAUUUGAAAUCUGUUUGGAUGCCAACAGGGAAUGAGAACCCUGACCUUCUGCAGAGACUGAGUAUGAAAACGCGUGCAGACAAGGAAAUAUGGAACGGUCAGCUUCGAGCCCCAAAGUAAUGAAGUUUUCCCCUAAAACAUUCUGUGGUGCAGAUGGAAGACCAUAAAAGUUCCUGGAACUGGGGUUAAUCCCACAACACACAAGUCUAAUCAAGACAGCAUCAUGGUUAUUGGAAGGAGAUGAAAUGAACAGUAGCCCAUGGGCACUAUUCAGGUGCAGAAAGCUCCUGCU